rnacentral:rRNA from 1 species
GGGGCUUCUCAAUAUACUGCCUGCCUUGAGACCGGGAGAGGCUGGAGGUACUUUCGGGGUAGGGGUAAAAUCCUAUAAUCCCGAAGGGACCACCGGUGGCGAAGGCGUCCAGCCAGAACGGGUCUGACGGUGAGGGACGAAACCCAGGGGAGCGAGUCGGAUUAGAUACCCGGGUAGUCCUGGGCGUAAAUGAUGUGGGCUAGGUGCAAGGCUACCUAAGUGGUAGCCUGGUGCCGAUGGGAAGCCGUUAAGCCCACCGCCUGGGGAGUACGGCCGCAAGGCUGAAACUUAAAGGAAUUGGCGGGUGAGCACCACAAGGGGUGGAGGCUGCGGUUUAAUUGGAUUCAACGCCGGGAAACUCACCGGGGGC